AUGAGCGGGCAUCCUUUGCUCGACAAGAAGCAGAGCCGCGGCGGCGCGGCCUUGGCACGGAUGCGGCUUGGAGCAGAUCGGGCGCGAGCAAGGAAGAGGAGGCAUCUCCCAUCGAUGGUCAUGGCGGCUAGCUGCAGCGAAGACAAAGAGAGCAGUCGAGAGAAACGUGAGCAAGAGAACAACAGAGGAGGACCGAAGGAAGGAGAGGAAGGGUCGGGAACCCGCGUGGCUCCGGCGAGGUUGGGGAGGUCCGGUGCGCGAGGAACGGCGCGGGGAAGGAAGGCUGGGCGCGGGUCCAUGGCGCGGGGCAGGCGAGGAUCUCGUCGAGGCGCUGUCGGGUGGAGCAUCAAACCGAAGGCCAUGGCGGCAGUGCUCCAUCGGGCGCCCAUGGCGAACCUGCUGGAGGUGGACGCUGGCGACGCAGCUGGUCACGAGGACGGGCGUGAACGCAGCUGA
rnacentral:rRNA from 1 species